CCCCUACUGCCUGUCAGUUACCGUUCUACGGGACAUAGCAGAGAACUAAACAAGAAGCUUAGAUUCUGGCGCAGGCAUGGAACUUCAGAAGGCUCAAAAUGUGCUGGCUGGGUGCUGAGUGUGGCAGGAGCCAGGGGGCACAUGCAAGCCCGCGCAGCCCACCCCGUACCAGGGAAGCAGCAGCAGCAGCCCAAAGGGUAGCAAGGACAAUUGUGGGGAACAUCCAGAGGAAAACGUUUAGAUCCACAGACUCCGAGAAGCCCUGUGCAAAGAUGUGGCAGCUCAUGCGGUCUGGAAAUUGUUUGGGAGAACACUUGGGGACCCCUUACCCUGGCGAGGUGCCUGUGAACGUUGCCGCCUGUCUGUGGGAGACGCUGAAGCAGCUUCGGAUGACCACACUUGCUAACCAGCUCCCGAGCCGGGGGCCACUGUGAUGUUCUGAGAGUUUUUAUUGUAUGCUUGUGUCUUGGAAUGGGGUGCCUCGAAUGAGCCUUCUCAGUGACCUGAGGACUUUGUGAGGUGACCUCUGACCUUCAGAUACCCCAGGUUUCUGGAAGAUGCCUUUCUCCAUCAUCCUGGAUCGGGGCUUUCCCAGCUUCGCCUACACCUGGGAGGCGCGAGUAGCCAGAUGAAGUCUUUCUGGUCUUGCUGGUCAGAGCCAGAAGGGCCAGUGCCCGGUCCAGGAGCCUCUCGCAGGCCUUGGGCUGCCCAUCCAGGCGUGGCCUCUCCUUGGCCCUUUGGACGACGACGCUGCAUUUUCCUCUUGGUCUCGGCCUCCCUGCCCACCAUGAGAGUGGCCAUGAGAGUGACCAUCUCCAAGGAGGCAGCUGGGUCUUUUCCACUCCCCAUGGCAGGGAGCCAGCUGUCUUCACGCCCUCACCCUAGUGAAGUGGCUGAAUUGCCAGGACUGAUC
rnacentral:lncRNA from 1 species